AGGAGAUCCAGAUUUGCAGUGGAAAAGAUGGACCGGGCCCUUGUGACAACAUGCAAACACACAAGGCAGAUCUGAAGAGCCUCAUCAGCCUGGUGGAGAGCUGGAAGCCUGAGUGUGACCACGCUGCCUUAGCAGGAAACUCCCCCCUCCUCCAGCUCCAGACACAUUGUCCCAAAACCACCAGGUCCUGGACACAAGGGGAGAUGGAAGCAGGCUCAGGUUUGUUCUGAAGUGGAUGAUAGUUUUCUAGUUUUCUCCUGAAGAUAACCCCCACACAACUCAGAAUUCACAGCCUCUUUCUGUUCCACAUUCCUUCUCACAGGUGGGAUAGAAAUAGUAGAAGCAGCCCCAAAU
rnacentral:lncRNA from 12 species